rnacentral:lncRNA from 1 species
CCCCACUCUGUCCAUUUGGUUUCAGAGUUUCUGCAUGUGGUCUCUCUGCAUGGGCUAGCUUGGGCUUCCUUACAGUACGGCACCUCAGGGAAGAUGGACUGUUUAUAUGGCGGCUGACUUUUUUGAAAACAUAUGUGCCAAGAAAACAUGAUAGAAAUAUGUAUUUUUAUGACCUCAUAAAUCACAUAGCAUCACUUUCAACCAACUCUCUUGGUCAAGGAAGUCACAGAGGCCCUCCGUCUUCGAGGAGAGUGGACUUCGAGUCCCCUUUAAUGGGAGGGAUGGCAGCGUUACCCUGUAAGGAGAGCACACGUGGGAUGCUGCAAGAUAUUGUUGCAGCCAUCUUUGGAAAAUAUAAUCUGUAACACAGGACAAUAUGGGUAUGCUGCACACAGACUCGACAUCAGUGCCAUCAUCUUAGUCCGUUUGGGCUGCUGUAACACAAUCCCAUAGACAGGGUGGCAUGAACAACAGAGACUUAUUUCUCACAGUCUGGAGGCUGGGAAGUCCAGGAUCCGGGUGCCAGCAUGGUUGAGUUCUGCUGAGGGCUCUCUUUCUGGUUCACAGAUGGCCAUCUUCUUGCCG